rnacentral:rRNA from 1 species
GCCUAACACAUGCAAGUCGAGCGCACCUUCGGGUGAGCGGCGGACGGGUUAGUAACGCGUGGGAAUGUACCCUUUACUAAGGAAUAGCCACUGGAAACGGUGAGUAAUACCUUAUACGCCCUUCGGGGGAAAGAUUUAUCGGUAAAGGAUCAGCCCGCGUUAGAUUAGAUAGUUGGUGGGGUAAUGGCCUACCAAGUCUACGAUCUAUAGCUGGUUUUAGAGGAUGAUCAGCAACACUGGGACUGAGACACGGCCCAGACUCCUACGGGAGGCAGCAG